rnacentral:misc_RNA from 1 species
UCUCAAGUGUCUUAGAACCCUCCUGCAUAUAGAAUCAUCAUAGAUCACUAGCAUAUAUAUAUAAGCUCUCUUUUGAGGGGUAAAAAUAGAUGAUCAUUCUCGCAUACACACAGCUCAUCUUUUUUCUACUCAUCAAUGAAACUAUCAAAACUUGGCCAAUAUAUGUUAGGCAUGGAAGUUCACUAGUGGGAAUCUGAUAUUAUCGAAAGAAAUUCAGGGAAGAAUGACCAGAAGGAAAAAUGCAGUGCUCAAGCAUGUACACCUCUCCUUCAGUCCUAAAAAUGAAUUAAGAAAAUGGGGCUAUUUUUUCCUCCCUAUUAUCCUUUAGGACUUAGGAGGUUCAUUGGCCCUUGAAUUACACAACAGACCCCCCUCAACCUAACUCUUCUGGUAUCUAAAAGUUUCACCUUAAAGAUUAAACCAUUUUGUCCAUUGCUUUAUUUUCUCAUCCACAAAUUAGAUUGUUCUGAAAACUGAAGAUGGCAAAGAAGCUUAAACCAAACAGAAGAUUGUUUGUAAUCUAGAAUUUUACAAGAAUUCAAUUUAAUUGAUUUCUUUUUAAUCAAUUCUCAUGUUUGGAAUGAAAAAAUUUAAUUCUUUUCAACUUAAAAAAAAUUUCAUUUUAAAAGAAAUAGAAAUCAAGCUUUAUUUUUUUAGAAUUCAGUUGAAUUCUUUUCUUACAAAUGAU